rnacentral:rRNA from 1 species
UACAGAGGGUGCGAGCGUUAAUCGGAAUUACUGGGCGUAAAGGGCGCGUAGGUGGUUACGUAAGAUUGAUGUGAAAUCCCUGGGCUUAACCUAGGAACUGCAUCGAUGACUGCGUAGCUAGAGUACUGUAGAGGGUAGUGGAAUUUCCGGUGUAGCGGUGAAAUGCGUAGAGAUCGGAAGGAACACCAGUGGCGAAGGCGGCUACCUGGACAGAUACUGACACUGAGGCGCGAGAGCGUGGGGAGCAAACAGG